rnacentral:rRNA from 1 species
UACCAUGGAGAGUUUGAUCCUGGCUCAGGAUGAAUGCUGGCGGUAUGCCUAACACAUGCAAGUCAUACGAUGUAUUCGCAAGAAUAUGUAGUGGCGCACGGGUGAGUAACACGUAAGAACCUACUUUUAGGAAGGGAAUAACACUGGGAAACUAGUGCUAAAACCCUAUAUGCUGAGGAGCAAAAAAGUUUCGACUGCCUAGAAAGGGGCUUGCGGCUGAUUAGCUUGUUGGCGGAGGUAAUGGCUCCCCAAGGCGACGAUCAGUAGCUGGUCUGAGAGGAUGACCAGCCACACUGGGACUGAGACACGGCCCAGACUCCUACGGGAGGCCGCAGUGAGGAAUUUUCCGCAAUGGGCGAAAGCCUGACGGAGCAAUACCGCGUGGGUGAUGAAGGUCCGUGGAUUGUAAAACCCUUUUCUCAGAGAAGAAGAUCUGACGGUAUCUGAGGAAUAAGUAACGGCUAACUCUGUGCCAGCAGCCGCGGUAAUACAGAGGUUACAAGCAUUAUCCGGAAUGAUUGGGCGUAAAGCAUCUGUAGGUGGCUGAUCAAGUCUUCUGUCAAAUACCAGGGCUUAACCUUGGAAAGGCAGUGGAAACUCGUCAGCUUGAGUAUGGUAGAGGCAGAGGGAAUUCCGUGUGUAACAGUGAAAUGUGUAGAUAUACGGGAGAACACCAAUGGCGAAAGCACUCUGCUGGGCUUUUACUGACACUGAGAGAUGAAAGCUAGGGCAGAAAAAAGGAUUAGAUACCCUUGUAUUCCUAGCUGUAAACGAUGGAUACUAGGUGCUGUCAAAAAACAGUGCCGUAGCUAACGCGUUAAGUAUCCCGCCUGGGGAGUAUGCUCGCAAGAGUGAAACUCAAAGGAAUAGGCGGGGCUCCGCACAAGCGGUGGAUUAUGCGGUUUAAUUCGAUGCAACGCGAAGAACCUUACCAGGGUUUGACAUGUCGGGAAUUUUCAGAGAUGAAAAGUGCCUUUUUUGAAAAAGAAAGGAGCUCGAACACAGGUGGUGCAUGGCUGUCGUCAGUUCGUGUCUUGUGAUGUUGGGUUAAGUCCCGCAACGAACGCAACCCUCGUUUUCAGUUGCCAGCAAUGGAACUCUGGAAAGACUGCUAGCGUAAGCUGGAGGAAGGAGAGGAUGACGUCAAGUCAGCAUGCCCCUUAUACCCUGGGCGACACGCGUAAUACAAUGGUCAAGACAAUGAGAUGCGACCUCGCAAGAGCAAGCUAACCUCCAAACUUGAUCUUAGUUCAGAUUGAAGGCUGAAACUCGCCUUCAUGAAGCCGGAAUCGCUAGUAAUCACCAGUCAGCUACAUGGUGGUGAAUACGUUCCCGGAGCUUGUACUCACCGCCCGUCAUAUUCUUCGAGGUGAUUUGACUCGAAACCAUUUUCUUCAACCCUUUUGGGAGAAGGAUGACUACAGUCGGAUUGCUGAGAGGAAUAAAGUCGUAACAAGGUAGACGUACUGGAAGGUGCGCCUGGACAAUUCUCCUA